rnacentral:rRNA from 1 species
AACGAACGCUGGCGGCAUGCCUAACACAUGCAAGUCGAACGAGACCUUCGGGUCUAGUGGCGCACGGGUGCGUAACGCGUGGGAACCUGCCCUUAGGUUCGGAAUAACUCCCCGAAAGGGGUGCUAAUACCGGAUAAUGUCUUCGGACCAAAGAUUUAUCGCCUUUGGAUGGUCCCGCGUUGGAUUAGCUAGUUGGUAGGGUAAAAGCCUACCAAGGCGACGAUCCAUAGCUGGUCUGAGAGGAUGAUCAGCCACACUGGGACUGAGACACGGCCCAGACUCCUACGGGAGGCAGCAGUGGGGAAUAUUGGAAAAUGGGCGAAAGCCUGAUCCAGCAAUGCCGCGUGAGUGAUGAAGGCCUUAGGGUUGUAAAGCUCUUUUACCCGGGAUGAUAAUGACAGUACCGGGAGAAUAAGCUCCGGCUAACUCCGUG